CAACUGAGCCACCUAGGCGCCCCCAAGCUGUUUCUAUAGCACAGACAAUUUGCAGAACUGAUUGAGGAGAGAAAGAUGUUUGGAGAAAACAGAAGGGAAACUGGCCUGGGGGAGCAAGAGUUGGAGAAGUGGUCAAGGGGCCUCAAAGGGAUCCAGCCCUAAUUUGUCCUGAAUUGGGAAGCUGCCAGCACAAGUGUAACCUCAGCACUGCUUAGGAUUAUUAAUCUGGCAGGUUCCUUAUACCAGGACAAAAGAAAGGGAAGAACCUGGAGCAGGGAGACAUUUAGAAAGCUGGGGCAAUGGCCCAGGCAAGAAUGAGAUGAACAAGGAAUUGAUAAGGGAUAAGGUAGAGCAGAAGUCAGGAGGAGGGAUCCAAGAGGUCCUGCUGACCUCUCCCUCUGUUGAUCUGGGAUGAGGGCAGAGACAGAAGCUGGAGUUCACUUUCCCACAGUGAAAGAAGACAGGUAAGGAGCUCCCUUACUAAGGAUGGAGGUGGGACUCCAGGGCUGGUAAGGCAAGAGACAGGCUCUUCCAGACCUGCAGGACAGUCAGAAGAUGUGAGGAGGGGUAUGAGAGACAGAGUGCAGAAGCAGGUGUAGAUGGUUGACUAUAAAUAACCUAUCUGAUCUUCUAGUCUCCUGCCCUCGACCUGAAGAUGUGGGGUCUUAGGCCAGUGCAGCCAUCCCAGAAAAUCAGGAUAGAAGUUCGCAUCCAGCUGCCCUGAGGAAACCCUGUGCAAACAGGAGACUUGCUGCCACCCAGGUCCCAGCCAGAGAGUCUGAUUCCAUCAGUCUGAGGUCAUUACAUUGUGUGACCAGGACCAAGAACCAUUUGACUCAGUGUUGGACAAGGAGGGGGAAGGGUCAGUCCAGCUGGCUGUGGGAUGGAAAGGGCCCAAACUUGGGGUCAGCACUAUUGAGCCCUGGGAACCUCUUCCCCUGGGACACUUAGAAUUCUGGAGUUGCAAGAAACAGAAACUCAGUGGUGCCUCACAGAACCAAGGAUAAGAAGGUAGCUGGGAAGGGAAGGGCCUGGAACUAGGAUCUGGAAGGCCCAGGCCAUGCUCCACUGACUGUACUCUAAGAACACAUCAGCCUGGGCCUUCUCAUGGCGGCCUGGCUUCCUUUGUUGUCAUCCACAUGAUAGGCCUGCAAGUUGACACCUUAAUGGCCAAGUGCCACACACUACACACAGGCUGGUCCUG
rnacentral:lncRNA from 1 species